rnacentral:rRNA from 1 species
UACGAAGGGGGCUAGCGUUGUUCGGAAUUACUGGGCGUAAAGCGCGCGCAGGCGGUCCUUUAAGUCAGGGGUGAAAGCCCAGAGCUCAACUCUGGAACUGCCUUUGAAACUAGAGGACUUGGGUACGGGAGAGGUGAGUGGAAUUCCGAGUGUAGAGGUGAAAUUCGUAGAUAUUCGCAAGAACACCAGUGGCGAAGGCGGCUCACUGGCCCGAUACUGACGCUGAUGCACGAAAGCGUGGGGAGCAAACAGG